rnacentral:misc_RNA from 1 species
AACUUCACCAGGUGUGGUGGUGGUGAUGUCUCAUGAUACCAGACCCAACAGCAAUAUUGAUCAGUGGUCGUGGCGGGAGGCAAGUGUUGGCUCAGGUCUUUAUGAUGUAUUUACUCAACAGGUGUAUCAUUACAUGGUGUAUAAAAUGUUAAUAAUACACUAGUCAAGCUUGACGUUGUUGUGUACCGGACGUGUGUAAACGUGUGUGGUAGAGCGCACGAGGCAGAAACAAAUGGGCAAAGUUUCUUUCACCCUGAAUGCCCCUGUUACCUAGCAGUAAAUAGGUACCUGGGAGUUAGUCAGCUGUCACGGGCUGCUUCCUGGGGGUGGAGGCCUGGUCGAGGACCGGGCCGCGGGGACACUGAAGCCCCGAAAUCAUCUCAAGAUAACCUCAAGCGGAGGCCAUGAUGCACACCUGGCGGCUCUUAAGUGCUUGCAACACUCAUCAACGUCAACUGUAAGUACAUGUGGCAAACAUGUUUUCCAAAGUGUUCCGAGUUGAUAAGAAGUGCGGCGGGCGAGGUGGUGGCGGGCGAGGCGGGGGUGCGCUAGAGCGCCGGUGGUCGGGGAGCGAGCACGGCCCGGCCUACUACCCUCUGGUGCACUCGUCCCUCAGCCAACACUCGCGGAGCCUCGCCCUCCACGACACCGGGGCCGCCGAGUCCCUGGAGCAGGAGCUGGACCUGCUGGAGCUGGUGUGCCGGAGUGACAGCCUCCACAAGAGGCUGGACGAGCUGCAGGCCAAGUAUGAGAGGAUGGACGACGGCCUCGACACACUCCACACUCACGCCGACGCCGCCGAGCGCUCCCUCACCGUCUUCUCCUCCACCAGGAACACCAAGUCCUUCGAAGGAGAGACCAAAAAACCCAACUUUUUUCGGAGGUUAUUUGGCAACAGACUGUCUAAGAGUGAGGACGAUUUGUUGGAUAAAAGGCCGUCGUGGUCGCCAUCAUCGUCGUCAGGGAUGCACGACGACGACACGGGUGAGAGCGGCCCGCUCCCAACCCUGCCCGUGAAGGAGCGACGCUCGGCCAGUGAAGACGUGUUAUCCUGGCGUUACCUCGUGCGUCUCGGCCGGGAGAAGCGCCAGAGCUGGAGUGCCCAGGGUGGCCUGUCCGACCCCAAGACCUCCCAACAGGACUCCAAGGCCUCCCAGCAGGACCCCAAAGCCUCCCAGCUGGACCCCAAAGCCUCACAGCAGGACCCCAAAGCCUCCCAGCAGGACCCCAAAGCCUCCCAGCAGGACCCCAAGGCCUCCCAGCAGUACCUGAUGCCCCCUCCCAACGUGCAGAGUAGCCAACAAAAGUUUGGACUUAAGCGGAAGAGAGUGAUCCGAGUGUACAACCUGAACUCCCUGGACCAAAGAGAGGCCACCAUGGGCUCCACAGAGUCGUGUAGUGACUCUACAGACUCUGAGAAGGAAUUCAAAUCCAGAUAUGGUGGCACAAGCUUGUGGAGUGGAGGCCAAGGUGUGGCAGCCUGCCUCCACCACGGCCUGGGGCUCCAUGCUGCAGGUGGAGACACGACAGUGUCGCCCGUCACUCGUCGACUCCCACAUGAGGUCACCACCAAGAUGGAGGGCAACAUGCAAACUGUCAAUACAAACAUUGUAGACCCACAAGAUGGCACUGAGAGGAAAGGAGGAGUUGACACAGAUGGUAAUGUUAGAGACAUGAGUGUAGGGGAAGGAAAAGGAACAGUGCCCAAGAGAGGGGAGAAAGGAAGGAGCACAUGCGAGUCUCUGCAUAGCUCACAUGACUCUCCACACACGCACGCUUCAUGCACCAGUAUGCGCACCUCGCCACAUGAUCCACGCACAGUUCAACCAAUCUUGAAGUAUGCAGAUAAGUGCUCGGAGAGCGAGUUGGCAAACGUAAAUAAAACGGGAACUGCCAGUUCCAACGAGGUUCUCCUCGUUACUACUCCAAGUGCUCAGAAACAUUACAGGACUCCUAGCUCCCAGGAAAACUCCAAGACAACUACCUCACAGGAACUUUCAUUUCCAAAGACACUAAGCAGUCAGGAACUGUCGAAAAGUUCCAGCUCUGGGGAACUUGGAGAGUGUAUGGCUAUCAGCUCACAAGAACUGCCCACCAGACUACCAACCACAGCCUCCAUACAGGAGCUCGACCACUUCCUGACAGCUAUCAUUAAGAAUUUGGAGUCUCAGCUCGAGUCUGGAGGAACCAUCGCCCUCAGACCUCGAGCAGCAACACUGGAUGGCACCAAGAGGAAGAGGAAGAAGCGAAAGGAAGAGGAGGAGCAAGAGGAGAUGGAGGUGACACAAGUUAAUCCCAGGCGUUGUAAGAGGAUGAGUGAGUGUGGUGCGUGUGGACGUGGUUGGGUAGAGCCACGCCUCCUCCCUUGCCUGCAUACCAUCUGCACGCCCUGCCUCCAUGCCCGUGCCACGCACAUCAUGCCCACCAGCCCCACACCAACCUCCAGCAUCACAUCAACCACCAACACAAUACCCGUGUGCCACCCCAACACCACCACCAACCUCCUCCCUACAUCCACACCUGCUCCUGACACCAGGAGUGCAUCCCAAGAGCACUCGCUCUCUACCACCACCACCACCACAACAGCACCCAUCAUCACACCUACCACUACAGCCACACACUACAUCAGCACCACACCCACUUCCACCUUGAGCUACAAUGGGAGCCAGUUGAACCGCCACUGGAAUGGAGAUGGCUCCAGCUGCACCAGGCUCUCUCUGAGUAGUGGCAGCAACAGCAGCACCCUCAGUGUCAGCACAGACCUCCGCCAGCACCACCACCACCACCACCACACAGCUGACCGUCACCAAGAACCACCCAGCAGCCUUCAUGAAAAUCAAGACACUGUACCUGAGGAAAGUCGAGACAAUCAAAGAGAAGGUCAGCAUCAAUGGACUGCUUCCACAGAUUUGGAUUCUGUUAUUGAACUUCUAACAAACCUCUCUCCAAAUUGUUCCAGUAAUAAUAAUCGUACUCCGAAAGUGACCCUUACAUGCUCCUCCGAGUUGACAAGUGAGGAUGAUACAGUCUCUCCAUCUACCACAAUAGACUCUAGAUGUUCCUCAAGGACAAGAUCAAGUUGUGAGAGCAUUCAGAAAAUCAAAGGAGUGUGGAUAGUUUGGUGUCCUGAAUGUGGAUACGAGGCCAAGGUUCCUACUGGAGGCGUCGAGUGCUUUCCACUCAACUAUGUUCUCCAGAAGCAGCUGGUUCUUGAAGCUCUGAACUCAUCCUCAACAACUGUCUACUGUGACCUCUGCCAUGAUGAUGUAGUGGCUGAAGAGCGCUGUGACAGCUGUCCAGUGAACCUGUGUCGACUCUGUAGUCAUGCGCACACACGACAGAGACGCACAACUCACCACACCGUUAUAUCAUUACAAGAAGCCAGAAGUUUAGGUAUAAGAGAGGUAGCUCACACUCUGGUCUGUGCCACUCAUGGAGAAGGAGAGGUUCGGUGGUGGUGCCGAGGAUGUCAUGAGCCGCUCUGUGCUGCUUGCCUCGCCACCCUUCACCGUGGACACCCAACUGUCACUGUGGACCAGGAGGCACCCCAAGCAUGCAGAAAGCUCACAGCAUUGCUUGACCAGGCUUCUUCCAGAAUGAAUGAGCUCUUGAGCACAGUUGAGGAUCUUUCUGGUGCUGCCACAAGAGUACAACAACGAGGUCGUAUAGUUAGUGAUCAAGUCAACGCCUUUAUAGAUGACUACAUAAUGGCUUUGGAGGAGCACCGGCACACACUUCUUAGACAAGUGCGCCAAGCAUGCGAACGUGCUCAGCGAGGCAUUGUGACCGAGUCUCAGAGAGCAGGUCAAACAGCAUCUUGGUUACGACAGGGCUGUGACCUUACACACGACCUCCUCCACCAUGCUGGUGAUGCCGAAGCCCUUGCUCUGGCCCCACUUGUCACGUGCAGAUUGCAGACUCUACUUAGUGAGCAAGUGAAAGGCUGUAUGCAAUGGGAGAGGUUGGCACUCCUUCGUGAGCACCGAGCUGGCAAGUAUGUGAUGUGACAAAUUUAAGUGCUGGGUCAAGAAGCUCGGCGUUGGUGGUAGCUCGAGACGUUGAUGGCCAGCCGAUAACUCAUGGCGGAGAAGAAAUAUCUGCAAGUGUACUAACAAAAGAUGGAGCAACUUUGUGUGGUUGCUCAGUUAGAGAUCGUGAGGACGGGUCGUACGAAGUCAUAUUUAUUGCUCCUGUGCCGGCAGCAGCAGUGUUGCAUGUUACCAUUCAAGGUGUUCAUGUUCAG